rnacentral:rRNA from 1 species
AUGGACAAUUCAAUUAAAAACCACUGGAACAGUUGUGCAAGGAAGAAAAUUGAUUCAUAUAUGUCAUCAGGUUUACAUGCUCAAGUCUCGUGUCUUCCACUUAUUGAACACCAUACCGAUUUAAUUUCCUCAUCGGUGAUUACCCAACUAAACAGUGAAGACAGUGAUAGCAAUGGUAUCCAUGAGGUUGAAGAUCCAUCAGGGUGUAGUCAGUCCUCAUUGGUAUGGUUUCUUCCUCAAGUGCAGAACGUCAAUCUGGCCUUGAGCUGUGAUUUACAUGUGAAUGCAUAUCCCAGCAAGACAGAAGCACAUGAUUAG